CGGGUGAGUAACACGUGGGUAACCUACCCUCGGGCGGGGAACAACUUCGGGAAACCGGGGCUAAUUCCGCAUGAUAUCUCAGACUCAUAAGCGUUUGAGAUCAAAGCUGGGGAUCCUUCGGGACCUGGCACCUGAGGAGGGGCCCGCGGACGAUUAGCUUGUUGGUGAGGUAAUGGCUCACCAAGGCUACGAUCGAUAGCCGGCCUGAGAGGGCGGACGGCCACACUGGGACUGAGACACGGCCCAG
rnacentral:rRNA from 1 species